AUCGAACGCUGGCGGCAGGCCUAACACAUGCAAGUCGAGCGGGUGUAGUGAUCUUGCCCCUGGCUUCAGCGUCGGUCGCGUGUGUAAUGCCUCCCAUUCUGCCUGAUUGUGUGGGGUAACGUUCAGCUACGGGCGCUAAUACCCCAUACCUGCUGAGUGUAUCUGCGGGGGGUCCGGCCAGCGCACGCUUUCCUAUGUGCAAAGGUCGUAUUUGCUAGUUGGUGGGAUAAAGGCCUACCCAGGCGACGAUCGGUAACUGGUCUGAGAGGAUGAUCAGUCACACUGGAACUGAGACACGGUCCAGACUCCUAGGGGAGGCAGCAGUGGGGAAUAUUGGACGAUGGGAGAAAGCGUGAUCCAGGCAUGCCGCGGGUAUCAAGAAGGUCUUCGGAUUGUAAAGCACUUUAAGUUGGGAGGAAGGGAAGUAAGUUUAUACCUUGCUGUUUUGACGUGACCAACAGAAUAAGCACCGGCUAAAUUCGUG
rnacentral:rRNA from 1 species